CUGCACGUAGCCUCCCGGGCUCAUCUGAAUAUUUUCACUUGAAGCUAGAAGCCCCAAAGCUCGUGCUAUACAUAUCGCCAUUAAGUGUUGCAGUUAUAGCCCCUUUGUACCUUUUAUCCAUGGCUUAUCUGUGUCAAAUCAAUGGCUAAAUCA
rfam:Capsicum annuum cultivar Zunla-1 chromosome 10, whole genome shotgun sequence